GAUGAAGAACGUAGCGAAAUGCGAUAAGUAAUGUGAAUUGCAGAAUUCAGUGAAUCAUCGAAUCUUUGAACGCACAUUGCGCCCCCUGGUAUUCCGGGGGGCAUGCCUGUUCGAGCGUCAUUUCACCACUCAAGCCUCGCUUGGUAUUGGGCAACGCGGUCCGCCGCGUGCCUCAAAUCGACCGGCUGGGUCUUCUGUCCCCUAAGCGUUGUGGAAACUAUUCGCUAAAGGGUGCUCGGGAGGCUACGCCGUAAAACAAACCCAUUUCUAAGGUUGACCUCGGAUCAGGUAGGGAUACCCGCUGAACUUAAGCAUAUCAAUAGCGGAGGA
rnacentral:misc_RNA from 1 species